CUAUGCACAAAUCAAGACGGUGUUGGCGCAAAGGCAAAAUCUAUGUUCCCCAUCUCAAUCUAGGAAAAUGGAUGCUGAGUUUGAUUCCACUGAUAGUGAGUCUGCAUUUUGCUACUAUGAUGCACAUAGCACGGAAGGUUGGGACAUGAAUUUCAAAUGCGGUGGGCAAGCGCGGCCAUGACAACCGUCCUCGGUGGCAGCCUGUCAUCCUCAAUGGUGGCAGUUCCCGGAGUCCUCAACGGAGGCAGUUCCAGCUCAGACCUCGACGGCAGCGCCCGUAGACCUCAAGCGGAUCCUGCCGCUCACCCCGCACGGUGCUGUGCUCCACGACAAGCCGACGCGCCGCUCUGUGCCUUCUGCCAUGUGCGGUCCUGAUCUGACCGCCACGGGCCCCGCGUGGCAAUCAGGCCUCGCUGGCGCGCGGAUCCGGCCGUUGCCUUCCCUGCUGUGCGCCACUCCCCGCCGGUCGCUGCAUCCCCCUACAGAGUCGUAAGCCCCCGCUUCCCCUGGACCUCUCCCUUCUGGUGGCCGCGCCGGCGACCAGAGAGCACGACUGCGCCUCCCCUUGUCUCCCGCUGGCGGUCGCACUCCUUCCAGGCUCCGGCUUCCGGCGCACGCCGCUGCGGGCCGGUUCGGCGAAGAGCGGGCCGACGAGAGCGCCUGGGAGGGUGUCGCGGAGGCAGUUCGGGAGGGACCGGGCUUGCCUGCUCCCCGAGAAUGCUCCCAUCCGUGCUCCGCGCUCAUCCAACGCCCCCCGCUGCUGCCCUCCUUUUUUCUUAAAAACCCAGCAAUUAAACAAAACCGGCCGCUCCGUCUCUUAACCAAACCCAGCAAAAGACCAGCCGCUCGUUUCCUCUCUUAUCUACUCACUUUCCCCACAGUCAAAGCAGUAGCUUCUCAACCGCGGGGAGACAUCUCGACGGCGACCUCGAUUUGCUAGCAUGUCCGAGCAGGAGGGUCCUGGACAUCCCUGCAAGCUGGCUCAUCCAGCUGGUUGUCUUCCUCGGCGAGCGCGCCAUCUCCAUGGUCCUUCGGGCGCGGCGCUCGUCAGCGAACUGCUCACCAUCCCUGCGGCCAUGGCGUCCCUCGCCCAGCACGGCGCUCGUAGGCGAGCUACGCGCUGUCCCUGAGGCCGCAGCUUCCGUCGCCCGGCGAGGCGCUCGUGGGCGAGCUGUGGGCCCUCCCUCCUCGGCGGUCACCUUCGUGGCCCAGUUUGCCGCGUUUGCCGCGUCCCUGAGCUUCGUCCCACACGUACAAUAGCACAGCUGACAAGGCUUGCUGUGGUACAAGAUUAAGUUGGCUUCUGUUGUUGGAAGAAGACUUGAUUUCGGCCUGUCAUCGUGCCUACGGAUGGUUGCAGUGAGGCAUUUGAGGCUGGGCGCCCUAUCUUCAUACCAAUGGGUGAUUGAAGUGAGGCAUUUGAGGUUGGGUGUCCUGUCAUCGUGCCAGUGGGUGGUUGUACUAAGACAUUGUGGGCUGGGUGUCCAGUCAUCGUACCAACGGAUGGCUGCAUUGAGGCUGGGUGUCCUGUCAUCGUACCAAUGGAUGGCUGCACUGAGGCAUUUGGAGCUGGGUGUCCUCUCAUCGUAAGAACAGACGGCAAUAGUAAGGCAUCUGGAGCUGAGUUGCAUUGUUCUGAAUAGGUAUACAUGUGAUUUGUCGGAACUCCCAAAUGACCCUGUGUGUAGUAGUGGUAAAGGUCAACGUACAUACAACUUUAAGAUGAUAAGAUUAAAAUAUGAGUGUAGGUAGCUUAUACCAUUAAGCUAUUGUAAUGUUGCAAUCCAGCCGACAAUCUUUGGUCUUGCCCAUACAUCGCCAUAGGAUUUAGGAUUGGGUUGUACAGUGGUAGAUAUGCAGGCAUUUCAUUUGUAAAAACCUCCAACCGACCCUACAAAAAAGAUGAGAUAAAUGUUGUAUAACUUCAGUUUUAUAACUGAAUUUCUCCUCUCUUUUAUCUUCAGCAUGGACUCCUAUUAGUUGAAAUUAUUUUAUUAGUCCCAUCUAAAAAUCGAUAUGACCAGAACAAGUUACAACUAGUCCAUACCUUGACGAGAACAUGUGAAUGUCCGUUGUUGUAUCGUACUGGAUUUUUUCACUUUAUGAUGAUUGCCUCUUCGGAUGCUAAAACCCAAGGAAUAAGCAUACUUGUUAUAGAAGGAAUAUGCUUCUUCUUUAGAUAAAAACUGCAUGCCAAUCUUUGGCACCCUUUUUUCAAUCUGCUCUGUUGCAUUGCUAGCUGUAGUUUCUUCGACCCCCUGUUUAAAUUAGUACUCACUUUAGCAAUUGGUUCAAAUACAAGGAAAAGGAAAAGAAAACAUAUAUGUGUUGUAAAUCAGCAAUAACCUUGCUAUGACUAUUUAUUUCGAUGUCACAGUGGAAUAGAAAGGAGUGGAAUUUGUGUUGUUUUCCCAUUCUAAACAAGGUGGUUAAUAAUUUCAAUCUUCUGAGUACGCAUUCUCAACUAAUCAGAGGUAUGUCUUUCCCCCUCGAACCAUUACAUUUCUCUUAUAUGUCCAGCAUCCGUUUUUCAUUUAUAUAUAUGUACCAUCAGUAAUACAACUUUGUAUUGUGCGAUCUGUGCAAGACAUGUUAGCUGGAUAUUGCGCACUAGGAGUAAGAAAUAUACGCAUCUGCUAUCUAGUUUCAUUUUGCUACGUGGUCCCAGUGACAGCAAUCACAAAAACCUGAAAGUCAUAGAUCUGUUUCAUUGCAGGAUUGGGAGAAGACAGUUGGGUCAGAGAAAAAGGAAGAACGCAAUGGAAACAAGAUGGCUUACAUUUGGGGGAUCUAAUUCCUCAUUGGUUCCGGCAAGAAUUGGUGAAGAAGCCAUCAAGUUCCUCCAGCAAUUCCCUUUGUUGGAUCUGUGUUCGUAGAUAGAUUUGAUGAAGAAGCGUAUAGUUUGGUUUGUUUCGUACUCUGUGUACGGGAAAAGUUCUCCGCCAAUGCUUUUGGCGGGCAAGACAUAUUUAUUUCUCUCCAAAUCUAUGUUCUGUUGCGUUAA